rnacentral:rRNA from 1 species
UAAUACGGAGGGGGCCAGCGUUGUUCGGAAUUACUGGGCGUAAAGGGCGCGUAGGCGGCCGUGCUAGUCGGGUGUGAAAGCCCUCGGCUUAACCGAGGAAUUGCUUCCGAAACUGCAUGGCUUGAGUCCCGGAGAGGGUAGUGGAAUUCCCAGUGUAGCGGUGAAAUGCGUAGAUAUUGGGAGGAACACCGGUGGCGAAGGCGGCUACCUGGACGGGUACUGACGCUGAGGCGCGAAAGCGUGGGGAGCAAACAGGAUUAGAUACCCUGGUAGUCCACGCCGUAAACGAUGAGCACUUGGUGUUGCGGGUAUCGACCCCUGCAGUGCCGAAGCUAACGCAUUAAGUGCUCCGCCUGGGGAGUACGGUCGCAAGGCUG